rnacentral:lncRNA from 1 species
CUCGGCGCUUCCGGGCAGCUCCCCGGCAGAGCCUGGGGUCCUGCGGCUGCGUUCCUAGGACGGAGGUUGCCCGGACCUGUUUUGUGCCCAUCAUGCCCUUCUCAAGAGUGACCAGCAAUGGGCUUGCAGGGAGGAGUUCCCCAGGGAGUAAGUGUGAUUCGUGGCUCUGUCCAGCUCACAGCUAUGGCUCAGAUGGAAGAAUUGAGGCAUGAUGCUUGGAGCCCAGGCAGGGAGGAUCAAAAUGUUCACGGCCAACCUGGGUUACCCAUCAACCUGGGUUAG